rnacentral:lncRNA from 1 species
ACCUCCUCACAUUUUCUGCCUUUUUUCCCCUCACAUUUCACAGCCUUCUCCCCUCACAUUUCCCUCACUUUUCUCCCCUCACAUUUCCCACCAUUUUUUCCUCUCGUUUCCCACCUGUUUUUCUCUUAUAUUUUCAAUUUUUACCUCAUAUUUUCCACCUUUUUUCCCAUCAUAUUUCAUGCACUUUCCCCCUCUCGUCUCCCACUCUUCCCUCCCUCACAUUUCCUUUCCUUUUCUCCUCUCACAUUUCCCGCCCUUUUCUCCUCUCUUGUUUACAGCUCUUUUCUUCCCUCUCAUUUCAUGACAUUUUUUCCUCUCACCUUUCCUAUGAUUUUUCCUCUCAUUUUUCCCACCCUAUUUUCCCCCACAUUUCCCAUUUUUUACCUCCUCACAUUUUCUGCAUUUUCCUCCCUCAUGUUUCACGCUCUUUCCUCCCCUCAUGUUUCCCCCACUUUUCUCCCGUCACAUUUCCUGCCAUUUUCUCCCCUCUCAUUUCCUGCUCUUUUCUCCGUUCAUAUUUCCCACCAUUUUUUCCUCUCACCUUUCCUAACAAUUUCCUCUCACUUUUCCCACCCUAUUUCCCCCCCACAUUUCCCAUUUUUUACCUCCUCACUUUUUCUGCCUUUUUUCCCCUCAUGUUUCUCACCCUUUCCCCCCUCAUGUCUCCCACUCUUUUCUCCCCUCACGUUUCCUAACAUUUUUCUCUCACUUUUCCCACCCUUUUAUCCCUUACAUUUCUCAUUUUUUACCUCACAUUUUCUGCCUUUUUUUCUCUUCAUGUCUCUCGUCACAUUUUUCUCGUCACAUUUCCCACCAUUUUCUCCCAUCACAUUUCCUGCUCUUUUCUCCCCUCACGUUUCCCACCCUUUUUUUUCUCUCACUUUCCCACCAUAUUUCCCCCCACAUUUCCUAUUUUUUACCUCCUCACAUUUUCUGCCUUUUUUCCCCUCACAUUUCACAGCCUUCUCCCUUCACAUUUCCCUCACUUUUCUCCCCUCACAUUUCCCACCAUUUUUCCUCUUGUUUCCCACCCUUUUUUCUCUUACAUUUUCAUGUUUUUACCUCAUAUUUUCCACCUUUUUCCCCAUCAUAUUUCAUGCACUUUCCCCCUCACGUCUCCCACUCUUCCCUCCCCUCACAUUUCCUGCUCUUUUCUCCCCUCACAUUUCCCGCCCUUUUCUCCCCUCAUGUUUACAGCUCUUUUCUUCCCUCUCAUUUCCUGACAUUUUUUCUUCCCACCUUUCCUACCAUUUUUCCUCUCAUUUUUCCCACCCUAUUUUCCCCCACAUUUCCCAUUUUUUACCUCACAUUUUCUGCAUUUUCCUCCCUCAUGUUUCAUGCUCUUUCCUCCCCUCAUGUUUCCCCCACUUUUCUCCCCUCACAUUUCCUGCUCUUUUCUCCCCUUACAUUUCCCACCAUUUUCUCCCCCUCACCUUUCCUACCAUUUUUCCUCUCACUUUCCCCACCCUAUUUUCCCCCACAUUUCCCAUUUUUACCUCCUCACAUUUUCUGCCUUUUAUCUCCUCACAUUUCACAGCCUUCUCCCCUCAUGUUUCCCUCACUUUACUCCCCUCACAUUUCCUACCAUUUUUUCCUCUCGUUUCCCACCCUUUUUUCUCUUACACUUUCAAGUUUUUACCUCAUAUUUUCCACCUUUUUUCCCAAAAUAUUUCAUGCAUUUCUCCCCUCACGUGUCCCACUCUUCCCUCCCUCACAUUUCCUUUCCUUUUCUCCCCUCACAUUUCCCGCCCUUUUCUCCCCUCAUGUUUACUGCUCUUUUCUUCCCUCUCAUUUCCUGACAUUUUUUCCUCUCACCUU